UUUUUUGUGUUUUAUGGCUUAUUAACUAUUUAUCAUAGAGGAAGUUGUGUCUUUUGUAAUUUUGUUUGUUCUUUUAUGAGACAAGUCGUUAAAGGUUGUUCUAUUGUUGUACUGUUGUAUACUAAUGCAUAAGUUAAGAGAAGGGUUGCUCAACUAGCUAGCUUUAAAUCACCACAUUGUUACUGUACAUGUCCCAUGCCACGAACCUGUAGCCUAGUGAUGAGUUUGGAUUCUGUUUACGAUAUAUAUUUUGAUAAAUUUAUUUAAUCAGUUUUGUUUUGAAUUGUUUCACAAGUGUUGACUUUUAGUUCACAAUAGUAUCAUCAACUCAUUAGUUAGAAAUUGUGCUGACAUGACA
rnacentral:lncRNA from 1 species